GAGCACAGGCGCAUGUGACUGGAGUAGCCUUCUGCGGACCUAGCCCAGUCCCGACAACCGUGAUGGGUAAGGAAAUUUUGAAGGGUUGAGAAGGGGGGUCUAGGAUUUGGGGUUCGGGUCGGAAGAAUUUGCUUCCAGCUACUGGAUCGAUGCCAAUUAUGGCGGAGAAGGGAAGAGAAGGGCUACCCCAGCCUAAGGCUAAGGAGAAGGCUGUUUUGCCACCUCGGCUGUGGCCUAAUAGACUUAGUUUUGAAAGGUCUCCUUUCACGUUGGUUGGGAGUAAUGGGUCAAGUCCUGACGAUAACCAUUUUAUCACAUCUACUGCUGACUUUAUUUCAUCCAUUUCACUUGUGGUUGGCAUUACGUACAACUGAAAUUAUAACCAAAGUAUUAUACACUCAUUUUUAAUACAAAGUUAGGUUUACACUACGAAAAUAAUAAGGAAAUAUACCUUUUUUAUCAACUUAAUUAGUUUUGAAAAAUACAGGAGCAUUUAGUCCUCAUGUUUUAAGUUUUUAUGAAUAGUUUUAAAUGUCCUUUAUUUAUAUAUAAAAAAUGGAUCAAAUGUGGAAGUGUCAUUAUGAUUUAGAAAAUAACUAUUUUUUUAAAUCUUUUUCCUCGUCUAUCUCAUCUUUAUUCCCACAAUCUCUCUUCUCGCCUUCCAUUAAUAAAUUUUCAAAAAUAAAAAUUCUUUCAGUGAUCAAAAAAAGAUAUUUCUUUUCCAAAUAACAAUAUAUGUUUGUUUCAUUCCAAUAACCCAAUAAAGUGGCGAAAUAAAUAUCAAAAUGUUAAAAUAAAAAUAAAUAAUAAGUUAUGAAUUAUAAAAGUUCAUUCCAUGACCAAUUGUUGUACACAAUCAUGGGUGUAGCCCUUACUUAACAAUCAAGUAUUUUUAAGGAAAAAACCUUACAAAAAUUGACCAUUUUGUAAUUCUAUUUUGUAACCAUUUCAUCAAGUAUAUUUGAAACUUUAUUUUAGUUAUUCAAAUUUAACUUGAUUUUUGAUAACGUGAGUAAAAAAUAGAUAUAAAGAAAGAGAUUUUAAAAAUGAAAGAGAUGUUUAAAGACUUAGCUUUAAAAAAAAUAAUUACCAAAUAAAUAAGGCUUUAAUGUUUGAGUCUAGAAGAAAAUGUGUGUUUUGGUUCAUAGGUUCGAAGAGGUACAUUUUAUAUUCUCAAGUAUUUAGAAAUAGGUCCGUUAGGUUUUAUGAAUUUAUGAAUUACAUAUUUUAGCUCUAAGAUUUUAAGAAUGAGUUUAAAAGUUUUAGGAAGAAAUUUUAUUAUUUUAAAUAUUUAUAUGACAUUUUAAAUUUAGAAAAAGAAACUGUAUUGAAAAUUUAGGCUCCAAUUGAUAAUCUAUUCAAUUUUUUGUUUUUGUUUUUAAAUUUUUGCUUACGAAAAGCAAAAACAUAUGUGUGACAGAUUUUGUUUUUUCGUUUUUAAAACAAAAUAUUAUUUUUUCAUUUUCAGUUUUCGUUCCUAAUUUUAAAAACAAGUUUAUUGUUUAAAAAACAGAAAGUAAAUUAGCUAACAAAAACACACUUUUAAAAAAAUUCAUUUUCAAAAACAAAAAACAGAAAACAAAUAGUUUACCAACCAUGUUCCAGCAGAUCCAAAUACAUCUAUUUUUCAAAACUCAAAAACUAAAAAUGUAAAACUUGAAAAUCUAUAAACCCAACACCUAUUCUUCAAAACUAUAGAACUAAAGGAAUAUGUAUUUUUUCACAUUCAAAAAAUUUAAACAAUCAAAUAUAGCAAAAUGUUUGGAAUUAAUGAUAUAUAGACAAUCUCUCUAAACCAUGAAAAACUCUAACUUUGUCCCAUUUUUUUGUUGACCAAAAUUAAACUUAAAAUGAGUGUAUAUAAUCGUGGGAGUAUUUCUUAAUUUGUAAGUACAUACAUACAUAUAGAUUAUAAGUAAGCUAAUUAAGGUUUAUGCAUGGGUUUUACCUGUGGAGCAGCAAUAACAUAGCCAUGGGAAGCUAUAAGGGUGAGGAAAUCAGUGUAGAAGGAUCCAUAACAGCUGAAGCCAUGAAAGAACAAAAUGGCUGGAUAUAAACCUGGAGUUUUGGGUGUGAACACCAACAGUGGCUUUGAAGUUGAAAAUAUG
rnacentral:lncRNA from 1 species